rnacentral:lncRNA from 1 species
UUCAACAUAUAAAAGUUUUAUAGAGAAGAGCAAAAAUCUAAACAUCCUCUCAAAGCCAUCUAAUACAUAAGAAUGAAUCUGGGCGUAGCCCAUACAUCAUGUUCCAAAACUAAAAUAAGGAAAGACUGAAACAAUGAAACUCUCUCCUCGAAACAUGAGGACUCACUAAAGCUCAAAAAUCUCCUCAAUGAAUUCUAGCCACAAAACUGGGAACCUUGAUUGUCGGAUCCUACAUUUGGGGAAAUAAAGGCAAGAGUAUGUGUUAGUAUAAAAUAUGUACCAAGUAAGAUAAUCAUGCAUAAAACAUUUAAAUCAUGCUAAAAAGGGACAUUUUCAUAACAUGCAAUCACCAAGCUAAAAUAUGAGUAUAAGGAGAUAGAAAACAUAAGUCGUAAAACAUGGUCAAUGCAAGCUAACAUCAAUAAAAUCGUUAAUGAGAUACUUAUAAAAGUAACCUUAAUUCAUUAUUGUGGAAGAUUUAAGUUUAAUCGACAUAAAAUACCAUGUGAGCUAUCAACACAGAAUCUGAUGUAUACCUCACACCGAAAAGAAGUGUGCUACUUGCCAAGGUAAGACCAUGAACUUCUAGCUUAUGUGGAUCCACUAGCUAAUGUCUAUCUAAGACAAUCAUCCUAUGGGGGUACAUAGGUAUGGGAUAAGAGAUUGCUUCUAGGAACCCGUCCUCUACUAAUAGGAGAGUUCUCAUCUCAAUAUCAUUUUGGUUCUAAGCGUAAAUCUCACGGAAUAGUCAUUUUCUUAACGUGUUCUUAUUAUCCAUGGAAGGGCACGUCAUGUUUCCAAUCCAAGCUAAUUCAUUCAUCAUCCAUGGAAAGGUAUCAUUCAAUAGCCAAUCUAAGCUAGGUUUCAUAAGAAUAGCUCAUUAAAUCUUUGAUUCAAAGUUUAGUUGAGAAGACCUUUCAACCCUAAGAAUCCUUUAUGUGAGAAUGUCCUUUCACAAGUCACGCUUUCACGUGUAUAUGAGAAAUCCUUUUAACAACACAACAAUAAAAUCAUUGAUACUUCACCCUCAAAGCAUCCUCAAAAUAUUUACAUCAAUUUCAUGAAAACAUGUUUAAUUUCAUAAACUCUCCUUUCAUAAUUCAAAACCCACAUCAUAUGAUCAUAACUUGGAAAACAUGAGGAUUGCAUGGGUUCAUGGGGAAACAUCAUAAAUAUAUGAGAUUAACUCAAUUCAUUCAUAAAAGAUCAUAGAUCAAUUAAUUAAAUCAAUAAUUAAGAGAAACCAACAACAUAGAUGAAAACCCCUAAAUCAAUUGGGAAUUUCUACUUUGAAAAUUGGAGAAGUUGGGAACUCCAUGGAGAAAAGGGCUCCAUGGAUGAAAAUCAUCAUACCUCAAUGCCAAUUGCUAAACUUUAAUGGAGGAUUAGGAGACUUGACUUGAAACCUAG